rnacentral:rRNA from 1 species
CCUACGGGUGGCUGCAGUGAGGGAUAUUGGUCAAUGGGGGAAACCCUGAACCAGCAACGCCGCGUGAGGGAAGACGGUUUUCGGAUUGUAAACCUCUGUCCUCUGUGAAGAUUAUGACGGUAUCUAACGAAUAAGCACCGGCUAACUCCGUGCCAGCAGCCGCGGUAAUACGGAGGGUGCAAGCGUUACUCGGAAUCACUGGGCGUAAAGAGUGCGUAGGCGGGGUAAUAAGUCAGAUGUGAAAUCCUGUAGCUUAACUACAGAACUGCAUUUGAAACUGUUACUCUGGAGUGUGGGAGAGGUAGGUGGAAUUCUUGGUGUAGGGGUAAAAUCCGUAGAGAUCAAGAGGAAUACUCAUUGCGAAGGCGACCUGCUGGAACAUUACUGACGCUGAUGCACGAAAGCGUGGGGAGCAAACAGGAUUAGAUACCCUUGUAGUC